UGUGAAAAAAAAAAAAAAAGUUGCUAGUUUGUCUGCCAUUGCUGGCGCGUCACGUCGGAGCUGCAGGACUCCGCCGAGCGUCCACGAGUGGAGUAAGCGUGCGGGGCGACGUCAGGACGCGACACCCGGACGGAGGCGUCACGACGGCGACACAGGAGGGCCAUUCAGAAGAGCCGGGGGUCGAAGGUGAGAAGAGCAGAGGGCAGCAUGAGCGAGCCGGGGCCCCCCGCCUCCACGGGCGUCAGCACCGGGAGCGGCGUCUCCUCCAGCGCGGCCGGCUCGUUCACCACCACCACCACUACCACGGCCGCCAACAGUAACACCUUGACGGCUUCUUCCACCACCACUGCUGCCACCAUCACUAUGACUACUCCCGCUACUACUGCUUUUGUUAGCAGUACUAUUAGCAGCAGCACCACUCCCACUAGUGCCACCACCACCGUCAGACAGGCAGUACCUCAGAUUUCCGUCUACAGCGGGAUACCCGACCGGCAAACUGUGCAGGUGAUCCAGCAGGCCUUCCACAGGCAGCCCAACACGGCCGCCCAGUACCUGCAGCAGAUGUACGCCGCCCAGCAGCAGCAUCUCAUGCUGCAGACCGCCGCCCUCCAGCAGCAGCACAGCCUCAGCACCGCCCAGCUGCAGAGUCUGGCCGCCGUGCAGCAGGUACAGUACUCGGCCGCCUUCCCCACCGGACCUGGACUGCUGCUAAAUGUCUCUCUGCCGCAGGCCAGCAUUGCAGCUGGUCGCCAGAACUCCUCCCAGAACGGCACGUCGACUCAGCAAAGCGGGUCAACUCAGACCACGAUCAACCUGACCACGUCGCCGGCCGCGGCUCAGCUGAUCAGCCGCGCGCAGAGCAUCACUUCCACACCCAGCAGUAUUUCCCAGCAGGCAGUUCUGCUGGGCAGCCCGUCCAGCAGCACCCUGACGGCCAGCCAAGCGCAGAUGUACCUGCGUGCACAGAUGGCCCAGCAGAGUAAUGUUUUCCAGGCCCAGCAGAGUAACCUGGUCCAAGUGGCUCGGAGUUUAGGCCGAGCCGUUCCCUUGUCGCCUCAGCUGAUCUUCACUCCCACGGCCACAGUGACUGCCGUGCAGUCGGAGAGUUCCACACAGGCCUCCUCACAGAAUCAGGUUCAGAAUUUGGCCAUACGUGGCCAGCAGGUGGCGACCACGUCCUCCUGUCAGACGCAGACUCUGCAGGCCCUCAGUCUGAAGCAGACCCCGGUGCCCAUCCAGCCCGCAUCCCUUAUCAAGCACCCGGGCCAGUUGUCUGCAGGAGGCAAGCCCGGCUCCUCCGAGAGUCCAUGUUCCGAGGGAGGGAAGAAGGCGGACGUGACGGAGGCUCGAGCCAUCAACAUGAGCCGCAACGUCACCACGCUCUGCGCGCAGCCUCUCGUUGCUCCAGCCUACACCCAGAUCCAGCCCCACGCCUUGGUCCAGCAGCACAAGCAGCAGCAGUUUGUGGUCCACAAGAGCCAAAGUUCCCAAAGGACGGCCGGCCAGCUCCUGCAGACGGCGUCCAUUCAGCCGUCGCAGCACCCGGUGCCCGUGCUGCCCAAGCCCGCGCCGCACCAGCCCCUGACGCCCGGCCAGCAGGCCACCAUCUUUCACUCCACCAUCAGCGGCCACGCCCUGCACGCAGCUCCCGCCCCCUGCUCCUCGUCCUCCUCCUCAUUGGUCAACGCUCAGCCCGUGCAGCUCACCGCCAUCAACCUGCAGAUACAGCCCACGGCCUCUCGGAUGCUUCAGGACUGUAAAGAAAAGCCAACUUCCCUGGUAGUGAGAGAGACGUGUGCCGCCUCCACCACCCCGCAGCAGCAGCAACAAAAGCCGCCACCGCUACCGCCGCCGCUGCCGGCUCCACUGCCGCCACCACCGAAGCAGCAGCAAAGUGCGCCGCCUCCGUCGCCGCCCGCCAAGCCUGUCGAGCAGGCCAAGUCCGACCCAACAACGCCGGCUGGUCAGCAUCAAGCAGAGGCGGCGACCAAGAGGCCGGCGGCCGCAGCUGGAACCCCGCCCCCAGUCGUGACCUCAGGAAGUGAGAGCGUGACGGCCACCGCGCAGCACAACGGCGAGAACAAGUUGCCGCAGGCGAUCGUCAAGCCGCAGGUCCUCACGCACGUCAUCGAGGGCUUCGUCAUCCAGGAGGGCGCCGAGCCGUUCCCUGUGUGUGUGGAGCGUCUUCCCAUCCUGAUGGACAGCCCCAAGAAGAUGGACAGUCAGCUGUCCUCCGACCCCGACAAAACCCCCGUCAGCAACGCGGCCAACUCUGACUCUGAGGCCGAAGACUUGAACCCGCCAGAACAGGAGCAAGAACCCAAGCUGACGUGUGAAUAUUGUGGCUGGGUGGACUUCGCCUACACCUUCAAGGGCUCCAAGAGGUUCUGCUCCAUGGUCUGUGCCAAGAGGUACAACGUGGGCUGCACCAAGCGUAUCGGGUUGUUCCGUCCAGAGAAGACCAAAGCAACAAGUCGCUGGCGUAGAAGAAGUCAGACCAGGUCCAGCACGGAGGCCAAGAAGCGGAAGAUGUCGCCGUCACCUCAGCAGACCGCGGGCGGCUCCGUGUCCUCGCCACAGCCCUCGCAGCCCAGCCAGGAGGAGUCCAGCCCCUGCUCGGACAUGUCCAGCUACGAGGGGCCGCCCUCUCCGCUGUCGGCGGCCAGCUCGGGACCCCCGGCCCCGCCGGCCCCAGCGCCGCUCCCCGUCCAGCGGCGGCCCGCUCGGGCCUCGUCGGAGCAGGACACCACGUCGUGUCAGCCCGUGGUCGCCAAUGACCCCGCCAGGUGGAACGUGGAGGAGGUGUACCAGUUCAUCUGUUCACUGCCAGGUUGUCAGGAGAUCGCAGAGGAGUUUCGCUCGCAGGAGAUCGACGGCCAAGCUCUGCUGCUGCUGAAGGAAGACCACCUGAUGAGCACCAUGAACAUCAAACUGGGACCUGCACUCAAGAUCUUUGCCAGCAUCAACUUGCUCAAGGACUCCUAGCAACUGUCUCUCUCUCUCUCUCUCUCUCUCUCUCUCUCUCUCUCUCUCUCUCUCUCUCUCUCUCUCUCUCUCUCUCUCUCUCUGUGUGUGUGUGUGUGUGUGUGUGUGUGUGUGUGUGUGUGUGUGUGUGUGUGUGUGUGUGUGUGUGUCUCUCUCUCUCUCUCUCUCUCUCUCUCUCUCUCUCUCUCUCUCUCUCUCUCUGUGUGUGUGUCUGUUUCUCUCUGUCUGUGUGUGUGUGUCUGUCUGUCUGUCUCUCUCUCUCUGUGAGUGUGUGUGUGUCCGUUUGCCUGUCUCUCACUCUGUGUGUGUGUGUGUGUGUGUGUCACUCUGUGUGUGAGUGUGUGUUUCUCUCUCGCUCUCUGUGUCUGUCUCUUGCUCUCGCUCUGUUUGUGUGUGUUUGUGUGUGUGUGUGUGAGUGUCAUUCUGUGUGUGAGUGUGUGUCUCUCUCGCUCUCUGUGUGUCUGUCUCUUGCUCUCGCUCUGUUUGUGUGCGUGUGUCUGCGUCUAACUCUCUCUCUCUCUCUCUGUGUGUGUGUGUGUGUGUGUGUGUCUCUCUCUCUCUCUCUCUCUCUGUGUGUGUGUGCGUGUGCGUGCGUGCGUGCGUGCGUGCGUGCGAGCGUGUGAUUGACUGGCAGACUUCUUGAUGGUCCAUCUUUAACAUCAAACUGUUGUUUCAAGUUCUUCCACACCUGGAGAUGACAAGUGUCUUCAAGUGGAGAAUGUUCUGGUAAAAGUGGUUUCCGGAAGAGGGACAAAGAAUAACAGCUUGCAAUGGCUUCUUAGAGCAGCACAGCCAUGAAAUAAAGUCUUUCUUUUAAUGAUUUUAUUUUUAAUUUUUUGUACUUUUGUCAGAUGUAGAUGUGGGCAGCAAAGAUGCUAAGAAUGUUUAUUGACAAACUUUUAAUCCUGGAUCUUUUUUCUCCUGCUCAUGGCACGUCCUGUCUUGGUGUUGCCAGGUGUGUCAAGUUGCCAGGUGUGUAUAUAGCAGCAAAACUGGAACCGUGCGCUUAACUUAUCCUUGUUAUUUUAAUACAGAAAGGAUGUUUACUAUUUUGAAAUAUGCAAAUGUAUAAAAAAACACUUUGACUUGGAGUUGUUUGUGUUUUUGACAGACGUGCGUGUGUUCAAGCUGCCAAUACAACAUCUGCUUGUUGUCGUCAGCACACUUUAUUUUGCAGCUAUAAACGAUUUGAACGUCACUUCCUGUUUGUGCUCUGCAGCUCUUUUCACUUUUCUCACUUCCCCUGGACGCCACUCAGCUGCCACGCAGCAGCUUCAAACAGAGACAUCAAACUUGGAUCAUCUUUCUGACAAACUUGAACACGUUGUCAGAUCCUGGCAUCAAACGUUGAACCCUGCUAGGAAGAAGAAGACUGCAGGUCCACAGCAGACUUGUACAAACCUGAGGUGAUCCUCAAGGCCGUACGAGAGCAGGUUGCCGUGGCGACACACAAAAUGGGAGAAGGUACGUGACGACGUGUUUGGCGGGAUGAGGGAUGAGUGAAGAUGAUCGGGCUGGAAUGUUCAAGAUGGAGCCGGAGGAGACGACACACACACACACACACACACACACACACACACACACACACACACACACACACACA